ACUACAGACCAAAAUCUCUUACUCUAGACACUUUGUUACUCAUUUGGCUUUUAAUCUCUACCUGUGGGAAGAAUGUCUUAGAAAGUUACCUAAGGCCAUGGCUGGUGUGGCUCAGUGGACUGAGCACUGGCCUGAGAAUGGAGAGCUGGCCGCCGGUUUGAGUCCUGGUCAGGGCACAUGCCUGGUUUGGGGGGCCAGGUCCCCAGUUGGGGGGUGGAUCGAUGUUUCUCUCCCUUCCUCCCCCUCUCUCUAUUUCAGUAAGGAAGAUGGAUGAAAGAAAACUUAGAAAGGGAAAAAGAAAGUCACCUCACCCACAGCAUCUUCUUUUCUCCAGGGCAAGGGUUCGGGUGGCCGCCCUGUGUGUGCGUGUGCGCCUCCGACCAACUCUGCAGAGGCGUCCUCGACUCUGAAAAUGAGGUCAAGUUGGCUGGGUACACACACAGGCAGGCACAAAGGAGACCAGAGGGAGAGGCAGGAAACAGAGGGACUGAGAGCAGCUCUUCUCGGCUCCCACUCCAGCAGCCCCCCAGGGCGGGGGGUGCGGUGCACUGAGGCCGCACCACCUCCCUGCCCGCUGAGUUGACUCAGAGACUCCCAGAGACUCCCAUCCGCUUAGGAUCAGUUCUACAGUUAUGACCAGUUUUGCCCCAAAAGAGCCUUAACUAAGUAAGUCAGGCCCUGGACGUACAUGCCAAACUAUGUGUGUAAACUAUUCACAUGUGAACUCCUAAAAACCACUCACAGAGUGUGACAUCAGCAUAGACGGACGGUGACCAGGGUGAACUUUCCCACAGAUCUGCAACAUCCUCAAGAAGAUCCUUCUAAAAGCUACAUGUGAUGCUGAACAUCAGCAGACGUAUUCCUCUGCCUCACCUCCUGCAGCAGCCUCCCCUCAGCCUACCUACAGUCCCUCACGGUCGCUGCUGAUUAUUUGGUUGUUUUGGUAGCACCACUACUGCAUUUGCAGAACACAGCCAGGACGUACAGACAGUAUGUGGCUCUGUAUUUAUGUGACCACUACAGCAGGGCAGGGGUCACCGAGACAGAUACUGCUCAUUCGCUAUGCAGAGACAAAACCAAACCACACCUCAGUGCCAUGAUGGCAGUGCUUUUGUUUUUUAAUUAGCAACAAGCUGAUUUCUUCUUGCUUUCUAACAUUAGUCCAGGGAGGAUGUUUCAGAAUGAGAAAUAAUGCAGGGACAGCAAUAAGCCAGCCCUUGAGCCUAGUCGGACUGUAGAGCUCUGAACG